rnacentral:rRNA from 1 species
UAGGGAUUCUUCGGCAAUGGGGGCAACCCUGACCGAGCAACGCCGCGUGAGUGAAGAAGGUUUUCGGAUCGUAAAGCUCUGUUGUAAGAGAAGAACGUGUGUGAGAGUGGAAAGUUCACACAGUGACGGUAACUUACCAGAAAGGGACGGCUAACUACGUGCCAGCAGCCGCGGUAAUACGUAGGUCCCGAGCGUUGUACGGAUUUAUUGGGCGUAAAGCGAGCGCAGGCGGUUUAAUAAGUCUGAAGUUAAAGGCAGUGGCUUAACCAUUGUUCGCUUUGGAAACUGUUAAACUUGAGUGCAGACGAGGAGAGUGGAAUUCCAUGUGUAGCGGUGAAAUGCGUAGAUAUAUGGAGGAACACCGCUGGCGAAAGCGGCUCUCUCGUCUGUAACUGACGCUGAGGCUCGAAAGCGUGGGGAGCAAACAGG